rnacentral:rRNA from 1 species
AUUGAACGCUGGCGGCAUGCUUUACACAUGCAAGUCGAACGGCAGCACGGAGAGCUUGCUCUCUGGUGGCGAGUGGCGAACGGGUGAGUAAUAUAUCGGAACGUGUCCAAUAAUGGGGGAUAACUAGUCGAAAGAUUAGCUAAUACCGCAUACGCCCUGAGGGGGAAAGUGGGGGAUCUUCGGACCUCACGUUAAUGGAGCGGCCGAUGUCGGAUUAGCUAGUUGGUGAGGUAAAGGCUCACCAAGGCGACGAUCCGUAGCGGGUCUGAGAGGAUGAUCCGCCACACUGGGACUGAGACACGGCCCAGACUCCUACGGGAGGCAGCAGUGGGGAAUUUUGGACAAUGGGCGAAAGCCUGAUCCAGCCAUGCCGCGUGAGUGAAGAAGGCCUUCGGGUUGUAAAGCUCUUUCGGCGGGGAAGAAAUCGCAUUCUCUAAUACAAGAUGUGGAUGA